UCCCUCAGUAGCGGCGAGCGAAGCGGGAAGAGUCCAGCGCCGAAUCCGCGCACCGUGUUACGUGCGUGGAAAUGUGGCGUACGAGAGUCUGCGUGCCGACGGCAAAAGUCUUUAAGUCAAAUUUUUCCCCGGAGCAAGUCCCCUUGAUCGGGGCGCAGCUCGGCUUCCGAGCCGAGUACCAGAGCGGGUGCCAGUCCCGUGGCCCGGUGGAAAAGCCGUCGGACGAGCAGACUCUCUGGAGUCGGGUUGCUUGAGAGUGCAGCCCUAAGAAAGGUGGUAAACUCCAUCUAAGACUAAACACGGCCUCGAGACCGAUAGCGAACAAGUACCGUGAGGGAAAGUUGCAAAGAACUUUGAAGAGAGAGUUCAAGAGUACGUGAAACUGCUCGGAGGAAAACGGGUGGGCGUUCGAAGCCCCCGCUUGCUUUUCGGAUUCAGUGUUCCCGUCGUUCGGCUCAGAAAAGUCGCCGACCUCGUGGAUUCUCGGGACACGUCUCGAGGAAGAGAAGCGAGUCGUCGCAGAUCGAGUCGUUCGAUGCGGAGCACGCAUUUCCGAACUGGCGAGAGUGAAGGGCGCCGCGACCGAUCGGGCACCCAAAGAGUGCCGCCCGUUGGCCGGGUAGUGCGGUAAGGGACACCUGGCGUCUGUCGUCGUUUUCUCGACGGCGACGUCGUCAGACGGUUCCCCCGACCUCGGUACGCCAAACAACGGCCGGUCGUCCGAUCGGAUUCCAGUGGCGAAUGGCAGAGGUGCUCUCGUUCGAAGCACGAGUCCGUGGACUACGGCUCCGACGAGCAGAGUUGCUGCCCUCGCGGCGAGCGUGUCGGUGACCCACCCGACCCNNNNNNNNNNNNNGACCAAGGAGUCCGAUUCGUGCGCGAGUCGCAGGGUCUUGAACAGGCCCCGUGGCGGAGCGAAAGCGAACGUUGCCGAGACUUCCUGGAAAGGAAAGCAUCGGCGACCCGGCGAAAAGAAUCGUUAAAAAUUACUUUAUCGAUUCACGUCGGAGUCUGAGCGCACGGAUCGGUACCCGAAAGAUGGUGAACUAUGCCUGGCCAGGGCGAAGCCGGAGGAAACUCCGGUGGAGGCUCGAAGCGGUUCUGACGUGCAAAUCGAUCGUCGGAGCCGAGUAUAGGGGCGAAAGACCAAUCGAACCAUCUAGUAGCUGGUUCCCUCCGAAGUUUCCCUCAGGAUAGCUGGCAUUCUAAAAAAAAAGAAAAGCAGUCUCUUCUCGUAGAGAGAAUGAAUAGAGGCACUGGGGCCCUAGACGACCUCAACCUAUUAUCAAACUACUACGAGGUGCGUCGGCGGCUCUUGCUCUGUAGAGGAGCUGUCGGAGAGA
rnacentral:rRNA from 1 species